rnacentral:rRNA from 1 species
ACUUUCAGUCGUGAGGAAGGUGUUAAGGUUAAUAAGCUUAGCAAUUGACGUUAGCGACAGAAGAAGCACCGGCUAACUCCGUGCCAGCAGCCGCGGUAAUACGGAGGGUGCGAGCGUUAAUCGGAAUUACUGGGCGUAAAGGGCACGCAGGCGGUUAAUUAAGUUGGAUGUGAAAUCCCCGGGCUUAACCUGGGAAUGGCAUUCAAGACUGGUUAGCUAGAGUCUUGUAGAGGGGGGUAGAAUUCCAUGUGUAGCGGUGAAAUGCGUAGAGAUGUGGAGGAAUACCGGUGGCGAAGGCGGCCCCCUGGACAAAGACUGACGCUCAUGUGCGAAAGCGUGGGGAGCAAACAGGAUUAGAUACCCUGGUAGUCCACGCUGUAAACGAUGUCGAUUUGGAGGUUGUGGUCAAGAACUGUGGCCUCCGGAGCUAACGCGUUAAAUCGACCGCCUGGGGAGUACGGCCGCAAGGUUAAAACUCAAAUGAAUUGACGGGGGCCCGCACAAGCGGUGGAGCAUGUGGUUUAAUUCGAUGCAACGCGAAGAACCUUACCUACUCUUGACAUCCAGCGAAUCCUUUAGAGAU